rnacentral:rRNA from 1 species
UUUUGUGGGGUGCUCGAGUGGCGAACGGGUGAGUAACACGUGAGUAACCUGCCCUUGACUUUGGGAUAACUUCAGGAAACUGGGGCUAAUACCGGAUAGGAGCUCCUGCUGCAUGGUGGGGGUUGGAAAGUUUCGGCGGUUGGGGAUGGACUCGCGGCUUAUCAGCUUGUUGGUGGGGUAGUGGCUUACCAAGGCUUUGACGGGUAGCCGGCCUGAGAGGGCGACCGGCCACAUUGGGACUGAGAUACGGCCCAG